ensembl:lncRNA
UGUGAUGACCCAAACGUUUAUUCCUGGAGGUUCUGGGAUCUUAGCAGUCCGUCGUGAUUGCAGUGGCUAUAGUCAGAUUGGCCUUGAGGCCUAUUCAGAUAUUCAUACCAUGUGCUGCAGAGGAAGGAUAUCACAGAAUGUUUUGAUUUGGAUGACUGGUAGGAGAAAUGGGAGAAGACUGUUUAUAGCCCUGAAAUGAGACCUAGAAGGGGAAGUCCCCACAGGAGACAGAGCAAGACAAGGACAGAAGAUUUGACUACUGUGAAGAAGGACUGAAAAAUUUUAAACUACAAGGUGAUGGUGAGGAUGCUAGAUAUCAGGAGACCAGAGAUCACACAAGCGCAGCCGAGAGGAGCCACUCCACGUCCGAGGUCAGGGGCAGAAGCCGGGAGGACCCCAUACCCGAAGGGCGGCGGCCAAGAGGAGUUACCCCACAUCCGAGGUCAGGGGCAGCGGCUGAGAGUACCAGAGUGCGACGGUGCAGGAACGGCAGAGAGGAACUACCCCGCGUCUGAGGUAAGGUGGGGCAGCCAAGAGGAGCGACGACGAGAGGAGUUACCCCACAUCCGAGGUCAGGGGCAGCGGCCGGGAGGAGCUACCCCAUGCCCCCAAGCCCGAGGCCAAGGGCGGUGGCCGGGAGG